AGGAGAAUUAACGUGGCCGGUUAGGAGAAUUAACGUGGCCGGUUAGGAGAAUUAACGUGGCAGGUUAGGAGAAUUAACGUGGCCGGUUAGGAGAAUUAACGUGGCCGGUUAGGAGAAUUAACGUGGCAGGUUAGGAGAAUUAACGUGGCCGGUUAGGAGAAUUAACGUGGCAGGUUAGGAGAAUUAACGUGGCAGGUUAGGAGAAUUAACGUGGCAGGUUAGGAGAAUUAACGUGGCCGGUUAGGAGAAUUAACGUGGCAGGUUAGGAGAAUUAACGUGGCAGGUUAGGAGAAUUAACGUGGCAGGUUAGGAGAAUUAACGUGGCCGGUUAGGAGAAUUAACGUGGCCGGUUAGGAGAAUUAACGUGGCCGGUUAGGAGAAUUAACGUGGCCGGUUAGGAGAAUUAACGUGGCCGGUUAGGAGAAUUAACGUGGCCGGUUAGGAGAAUUAACGUGGCCGGUUAGGAGAAUUAACGUGGCCGGUUAGGAGAAUUAACGUGGCCGGUUAGGAGAAUUAACGUGGCCGGUUAGGAGAAUUAACGUGGCCGGUUAGGAGAAUUAACGUGGCCGGUUAGGAGAAUUAACGUGGCCGGUUAGGAGAAUUAACGUGGCCGGU